ensembl:snRNA U6 U6 spliceosomal RNA
GAGCUCACUUUGGCAGCACAUAUACUAAAAUCGGAACGAUGCAGAGAUUAGCAUGGCCCUGCGCAGGGAUGACACACAAAUUCGUGAAGCAUUCUUUUUUUUU